rnacentral:tRNA from 1 species
GCCGUUAGGGCUGCUAAGCAGGUCACUGUGAUAUAGUGAUGGUAAGGUUUAACCUUCGUCGGUA